AGUGAACGCUGGCGGCGUGCCUAAUACAUGCAAGUCGAACGGAGUGGCGCACGGGUGAGUAAUAUAUAGCUAAUCUGCCCCUUGCUGGAGGACAACAGUUAGAAAUGACUGCUAAUACUCCAUAGCAAUGGAUGAUACUAUAUCGUAUCAGCUAGUCGGUGGGGUAACGGCCUACCGAGGCUAUGACGCGUAACUGGUCUGAGAGGAUGAUCAGUCACAGUGGAACGGAGGCACGGUCGAGACUCCUACGGGAGGCAGCAGUAGGGAAUAGUGCGCAAUGGGGGUAACCCUGACGCGGCAUCGCCGCGUGGAGUAUUACAAUUUUCGGAGCGUAAACUCCUUUUGUUAGGGAAGCGGUACCGAACGAAUAAGCACCGGCUAACUCCGUGCCAGCAGCCGCGGUAAUAC
rnacentral:rRNA from 1 species